rnacentral:tRNA from 1 species
GGAGAGAUGCCGGAGUGGUCGAACGGACACGCUUGGAGUGCGUGCGUCCCGGAAACGGGACCCAGGGUUCGAAUCCCUGUCUCUCCG